rnacentral:rRNA from 1 species
GACGAACGCUGGCGGCGCGCCUAACACAUGCAAGUCGAACGGAGUCAAGAGGAGCUUGCUUUUCUUGACUUAGUGGCGAACGGGUGAGUAACGCGUGAGUUACCUGCCCUGGAGUGGGGGACAACAGUUGGAAACGACUGCUAAUACCGCAUAAGCCCACGGAUCCGCAUGGAUCUGCGGGAAAAGGAUUUAUUCGCUUCAGGAUGGACUCGCGUCCAAUUAGCUAGUUGGUGAGGUAACGGCCCACCAAGGCGACGAUUGGUAGCCGGACUGAGAGGUUGAACGGCCACAUUGGGACUGAGACACGGCACAGACUCCUACGGGAGGCAGCAGUGGGGGAUAUUGCACAAUGGGGGAAACCCUGAUGCAGCGACGCCGCGUGGAGGAAGAAGGUUUUCGGAUUGUAAACUCCUGUCGUUAGGGACGAUAAUGACGGUACCUAACAAGAAAGCACCGGCUAACUACGUG